CCUACGGGUGGCAGCAGUGAGGAAUAUUGGUCAAUGGACGAGAGCCUGAACCAGCCAAGUAGCGUGAAGGAUGACUGCCCUACGGGUUGUAAACUUCUUUUAUAUGGGAAUAAAACAGGGUACGUAUGCCUUCUUGCAUGUACCAUAUGAAUACGGAUCGGCUAACUCCGUGCCAGCAGCCGCGGUAAUACGGAGGAUCCGAGCGUUAUCCGGAUUUAUUGGGUUUAAAGGGAGCGUAGGUGGAUUGUUAAGUCAGUUGUGAAAGUUUGCGGCUCAACCGUAAAAUUGCAGUUGAUACUGGAAGUCUUGAGUACAGUAGAGGUGGGCGGAAUUCGUGGUGUAGCGGUGAAAUGCUUAGAUAUCACGAAGAACACCGAUUGCGAAGGCAGCUCACUGGACUGUAACUGACACUGAUGCUCGAAAGUGUGGGUAUCAAACAGGAUUAGAUACCCGGGUAGUC
rnacentral:rRNA from 1 species